GAAGCCCAGUCAGGCCCUGCCGCCGGGCUUGCUACGUCGUUACUUUGUGGGAGGCGCCCGAGGAUUGUUGCUGGGUCCUUCUGCCAGCGUCUGACAGAAAUGCUUCGUCGCCGUUUCAUGCAACGAGUGGUGAUGCCAGCGGUAACAGUGGCGCGGCAGCGUCCGAGGUGCGAGGCAACCUUUUACGUCUAGUGGAACCCAUCGGUCAUCGAUUCUUCUAGUCAUCGAUUCUUCCUCAAGACAUAGAAAAUGCGGCCAGACGGUCAUCCGAGAAACGUCCCUAGGACGUGAUUGACACAUCCAUAGGAUAUCCAUAUCCUGGUAGUGGAUGUCCACAAAAUAUACAUAGAACCUGAUUGCUGUCACUGGCAGGUGAGUUUAGAUGCAGGCCCGGACAUUAACUGACCUGCAACUUUUCGUGGGCCAUGCUAGAUUCGAUGUAAGCCCAGGCAUGGGCCAACCUUCUGAAUGCCAGUGGCCGUGGUAGGCUUCAAGUCGGCCAACUUGGUAUCAGUGACUGGCCCUAGCUUGGUACCCCAAUAAUUGGCCGAUUUAAGACCGAUGUC